CGUUUCUUAUGGCAAGCCGUUCUCGUCAAAACUAUGUUUAAACUAUUUUUCGAAAAAUUUACACACUGAGAAUUACAAAAAAGCACACUGAGAUUUAAAAACUUCAAUACGCACACUGAGAAUUGAAAAUUACACACUGAGAAUUGAAAAUUACACACUGAGAAUUAAAAAUUACACACUGAGAUUUCAUAAAGACGCACUGAGAUUACAAAAAUGAAAAAUGCACACUGAGAAUUGAAUAUUACACACUGAGAAUUGAAAAUUACACACUGAGAUUUCAAAAAGACACACUGAGAAUAAAUAAACUGAAAACACACACUGAGAAUUUGAAAAUUACACACUGAGAAUUUGAAAUUACACACUGAGAAUUUAAAAUUACACACUGAGAUUUGUGCGCACUUUUUAUGCGCACAUAUCUAAUUAGCAUACUUAAUCUGAAUCUAUUACAAGCUUAAAACAACAAGGGGAAAGAACUCGUUAGUCGUUCGAUUUGGUUCCAAAUUAUUAAUAAAAAAAACUUUAGAAAUACAAGAACAAGAAAAAAUACCCACUUACUCUUUAUUACAAAAUAUAACCAAAUGGUGAAAAACUUUAUUAAAAUUAUAAGAAAACAUUGGAACAAUCUGCAAAAGAAUGCAGUGAAAUUUUUACCCAAGUGUCUAUUAUAGCAUAUAAACGUAACAAAAAUAUAAAAGAUUAACUAGCGAAAUCAAGGAAACUGUUGGAAGACUUUUGAAAAGAGACCCAUGUUUAAUUACUGGUAGUAGUAAUGAUCUGAAUUAUAGGCAACAAACUUAUGAAUAUGAGCGAUGUUAAGUCUUGAAAUUUAAUACGAAUGUUGGUUGAAGGAAUCGCAUUUCAUUAUAAUGACAAGAGUUCUUGAGAUCAAGAUAUUAAUCUGUUGAAUUAUUCAUCUCAUGAAUAUUCAUUAGUAAUUUGCAUAUUAAUCUCAGUGUGUAUUUUUGAAAUCUCAGUGUGUAAUUAACAAUUCUCAGUGUGUGUUUUUCAAUUUAUUUCAUCUCAGUGUGUCUUUUUAAAAUCUCAGUGUGUAAUUUUGAAUUCUCAGUGUGUGUUUUUUAUUUUUUUAAAUCUCAGUGUGUAAUUUCGAUUUCUCAGUGUGUUAUUUUAGGUUUUUAAAUCUCAGUGUGUAUUUUUGUCGAAAAAAGGGUUUAAACAUAGUUUUGACGAGAACGGCUUGCCAUAGUUUC
rnacentral:lncRNA from 1 species